UGGGGAAUCUUGCGCAAUGGGCGAAAGCCUGACGCAGCGACGCCGCGUGCGGGAAGAAGGCCUUCGGGUUGUAAACCGCUUUCAGGAGGGACGAAGCCACUCGGGUUAAUAGCCUAGAGGGUGACGGUACCUCCAGAAGAAGCCCCGGCUAACUACGUGCCAGCAGCCGCGGUAAUACGUAGGGGGCAAGCGUUGUUCGGAUUUAUUGGGCGUAAAGCGCGUGUAGGCGGCCAUACAGGUCCGUUGUGAAAACUCGAGGCUUAACCUCGAGACGUCGAUGGAAACCGUAUGGCUAGAGUCCGGAAGAGGAGAGUGGAAUUCCUGGUGUAGCGGUGAAAUGCGCAGAUAUCAGGAAGAACACCCGUGGCGAAGGCGGCUCUCUGGGACGGUACUGACGCUGAGACGCGAAAGCGUGGGGAGCGAAC
rnacentral:rRNA from 1 species